rnacentral:rRNA from 1 species
UACAGAGGUCUCAAGCGUUGUUCGGAUUCAUUGGGCGUAAAGCGCACGUAGGCGGAUUGUUAAGUCAGGGGUGAAAUCCUGGAGCUCAACUCCAGAACUGCCUUUGAUACUGGCGAUCUUGAGUCCGGGAGAGGUGAGUGGAACUGCGAGUGUAGAGGUGAAAUUCGUAGAUAUUCGCAAGAACACCAGUGGCGAAGGCGGCUCACUGGCCCGGUACUGACGCUGAGGUGCGAAAGCGUGGGGAG